UGGGGAAUAUUGCACAAUGGGCGCAAGCCUGAUGCAGCCAUGCCGCGUGUAUGAAGAAGGCCUUCGGGUUGUAAAGUACUUUCAGCGAGGAGGAAGGCGUUGUGGUUAAUAACCGCAACGAUUGACGUUACUCGCAGAAGAAGCACCGGCUAACUCCGUGCCAGCAGCCGCGGUAAUACGGAGGGUGCAAGCGUUAAUCGGAAUUACUGGGCGUAAAGCGCACGCAGGCGGUCUGUCAAGUCGGAUGUGAAAUCCCCGUGCUCAACCUGGGAACUGCAUCCGAAACUGGCAGGCUAGAGUCUUGUAGAGGGGGGUAGAAUUCCAGGUGUAGCGGUGAAAUGCGUAGAGAUCUGGAGGAAUACCGGUGGCGAAGGCGGCCCCCUGGACAAAGACUGACGCUCAGGUGCGAAAGCGUGGGGAGCAAACA
rnacentral:rRNA from 1 species